rnacentral:rRNA from 1 species
GGUGGAUGACUUUGCUCAAAAGUCGAGGAAGGACGCGACAAGCAGCGAUAUGCUUUGGGGAGUGGCAAGUACACUUUGAUCCAAAGAUUUCUGAAUGAGACUUCUCAUCAGAUCCUUCGGGAUGGAUAACGCGGGGAAGUGAAGCGUCUCAGUACCCGCAGGAAAAGAAAUCAACCGAGAUGUUGUUAUUAUCAGCGAGAGAAAGCAACGAAAGGCAAACUGAAUCUUUUAUAGAAAUAUAAAAGAGAUGUGGUGUUUGGACUGUUAUAAUUUGUCGCAUUUAGACCUGAAAUUUUCUGGAAAGAAAUGCUAAAGAGGGUGAUAGCCCCGUAAGGGAAUAAUUGCAUGAAUAGACAGGAUCCAGAGUACUACUACUUUGAUAUGUGGUAGGAAUGUAGGAGUCAUCAACUUCUAACCUUAAAUACUAUUUGAGUCAGAUAGCAAACAAGUACCGUGAGGGAAAGUUGAAAAGGACCCCUAACAGGGAGUCAAAAGACCCUGAAACCUAAUAGCGAUAGUUUGGUACGGCUUUACGAAGUUGUACCGUAAGUUUUGAAUAACUUGCCAGGGAGUUUAUUAAUGUGGCGAGACUAACCAAACGGGAGUCGAAGGGAAACCAAAGACCGCGCAGGUAACGAGGCGGUUAGGUGUGAAAGUGCCUAUAGUCACAUUAGUUUAACCCGAAACCGGACGAUCUAAUCCUGGGUAAGGUGAAGUAAGAGUAAGAUCUUAUGGAGGCCUGAAGAGAUGCUACGUGCAAGUGCUCUUCUAACCUGGGAUUAGGGGUGAAAAGCCAAUCGAGUCCGGUGAUAGCUGGUUCCUAUUAAAAUUGGCCUUAGUCAAGUCUUGACCGAGAUAGCCAACACUGUAGAGAUACGGAUCUAAGAUUUUUGCCUGGAAACGGGUGGGUCUUUCGUCCAACUCCGAAGGUGUUGGCAUUGUAGACGUCAGGAAACGGCGUAUCGAUUUAAGGUCGGUGCGCGAGAGGGGAACAACCCAAACUGUAGUUAAGGCCCCUAAAUACUGUUUAAGUGUUAAAGGGUGAAAAGUGUCGUUAGCCAUAGACAGCAAGGAGGUUGGCUUAGAAGCAGCCUUCCUAUAAUAAGUGCGUAACAGCUUACUUGUCGAGGUUAACGGCCUUGAAAAUGGACGGGACUAAAUCAGUUGCCGAUACUACAGAUCACUGCAAAGUGUAUGGUAAAUAGGUGUACUGUUUGAGUAGAAGCUCUUCUGAAAAGGAGGGUGGAUCGGGUAGUAAUAAGAAUCCUGGUGGUAGUAAGAGCGAAGCAGAGUGAGAAUCUCUGUCACCGAAAGGGCAAGGGUUUCUUGGCAAUGAAAAUCAGCCAAGAGUAAGUUGGUCCUAACCUCCAUCACAAGUUGAUGGGAGGGAAAGGGAAAAAGGUUAAUAUUCCUUUACGCUUUAAGUAUAAGUGGCAACACAAGUUUUUUUGCUAACGCUUUGGAAUAGGCUGACACAAAUUAUCGUUUGUGUUAACGAGAAUAAAUCAAAGGAGUAUCGUUAUGAUGAGAAUUUGAUUAAAUCUCGGAAUAGUGGUUCUAAAGAAUCAUUCAGUUGAUUUCUUGAGCCCCUGAAAAGGCAAAAAUUCAGAUCUUAAAGUGCCAUACCCAGAACCGGUACAGGUGCCCCUGGGUGAGAAGCUCAAGGUGUAAUGGUAUAAUCCGACUAAGGGAAUUCGGCAAAUUGGCCCCGUAUCUUCGGUACGAGGGGUCCCUGUGGUUGUGUAAUUUUAUGUUAUGCAAUUGCAGGGCGCAGAGACUAAGGAGGUCCGACUGUUUAACAAAAACUUAACCUUCUGCUAGCCUGUAAAGGUGCGUAUAGAAGGUGACGUCUGCCCAGUGUCAGUAUCUCAAACUUUCUUUCAAGGAAGCUAAGGACUGAUAAACGGCGGGGGUAACUAUAACUCUCUUAAGGUAGCGAAAUGCCUUGUCGUUUAAUUGACGACUCGCAUGAAUGGCGUAACGAGAUCUCCACUGUCCCUAGUUGGAAGCCACUGAACACUCUAUCCUGGUGCAAAGGCCAGGGAUCUCCAGUGGGAAGCGAAGACCCCGUGAAACUUUACUGUAGUUUGUCGUUGUGAUGUUAGUUCUAUUGCAUAGUGUAAGUGGGAGCUGUUUGAAUCAUGCAUUUUCGGGUGUAUGUUAGGCACUAAUGUAACACCACUCCUUAGAAUUGGCGUUGCUUACUUGUUUACAAGGACAUCGACUGAUGGACAGUUUGGCUGGGGUGGCACCCCGCCGAAAAAAUAUCGGCGGGGCCCUAAGGUUAGCUCAGACGGGUUGGAAAUCCGUUGUAGAGUGCAAGAGCAAAAGCUAGCCUGAUUGGAUCUUUAAUAUGACGAGUUCCAAACACGAAAGUGUGGUCUAGCGAACCUCUAUGUCCUCAUUGAUGGGGGCUAGAGAUGACCGAAAAGUUACUCCGGGGAUAACAGAGUUGUCGCGCCUGAGAGCUCAUAUCGACGGCGCGGUUUGCUACAUCGAUGUCGGCUCUUCCUAUCCUGGAUGUGCACAAGCAUCCAAGGGUGAAGGUGUUCACUUAUCAAAAGGGAUCGUGAGCUGGGUUCAGUACGCUGUGAGGCAGUAUGUUUGAUAUCUACUGGAGAUGUAGAAUGUCUGAGAGGAAGGAUCUUCUAGUACGAGAGGAACGAAGAAUCGAAGCCACUGGUCUACCGGUUAUCUGAUAAGGUAUGCCGGGCAGCUACGCUUUAAGAGAUAAGUGCUGAAAGCAUCUAAGCACGAAACUCACCUCAAAAAGAGACAUUUUCGGGAUUCCUGUAAAAGACAGGUUUGAUAG